UUAAAUUGAAGAGUUUGAUCAUGGCUCAGAUUGAACGCUGGCGGCAGGCCUAACACAUGCAAGUCGAACGGUAACAGGAAACAGCUUGCUGUUUCGCUGACGAGUGGCGGACGGGUGAGUAAUGUCUGGGAAACUGCCUGAUGGAGGGGGAUAACUACUGGAAACGGUAGCUAAUACCGCAUAACGUCGCAAGACCAAAGAGGGGGACCUUCGGGCCUCUUGCCAUCGGAUGUGCCCAGAUGGGAUUAGCUAGUAGGUGGGGUAACGGCUCACCUAGGCGACGAUCCCUAGCUGGUCUGAGAGGAUGACCAGCCACACUGGAACUGAGACACGGUCCAGACUCCUACGGGAGGCAGCAGUGGGGAAUAUUGCACAAUGGGCGCAAGCCUGAUGCAGCCAUGCCGCGUGUAUGAAGAAGGCCUUCGGGUUGUAAAGUACUUUCAGCGGGGAGGAAGGGAGUAAAGUUAAUACCUUUGCUCAUUGACGUUACCCGCAGAAGAAGCACCGGCUAACUCCGUGCCAGCAGCCGCGGUAAUACGGAGGGUGCAAGCGUUAAUCGGAAUUACUGGGCGUAAAGCGCACGCAGGCGGUUUGUUAAGUCAGAUGUGAAAUCCCCGGGCUCAACCUGGGAACUGCAUCUGAUACUGGCAAGCUUGAGUCUCGUAGAGGGGGGUAGAAUUCCAGGUGUAGCGGUGAAAU
rnacentral:rRNA from 1 species